rnacentral:lncRNA from 1 species
GCCAAACAAUAAUAUAGAAAAUUGAUAUAUCUAGCCCUUACUUUUAAAAGCUAAACCAAUGUUUUAUGAGCAAUGGCUAUUUGCUUUCCCGGAGUUAAAGCAAAAAUUAAAAUACAAAGGUAAGAAACAAAGGAAUAAUCUCAUUUUCAUAAUACCAUGCGAUUAUCUCACAAUAUCAGUAGCUUAGGUCAUCGUCUUUGUUUCGGUGAUUUUUUUGGGCUUAAUUUCAAAAAAAACCCUAAACUAUGAUAUUUUAUCACUUUUACCCGUUUAUCUAAAAAGUUAAUUAUUUUGACCCCUAAACUAUUUAUUAAACCACUUACAUCUUUUCAUUACUAAUUCGUGUAAAAUAGUGAUAAAAAUUAAACAUCACAAUUCAAACUAUUCGCCAACUUUCGUUUAUUCAAUUACAGCCGUAAGGUGGUAUCCCCUGAUAAACAAUUAAAAAAACAAAGUGUUGCCCGAGCAUGGCCGUUUUGAAAUCAUAGUCCAUACAAUUAGAAAUAGAUCUAAUAAAGCUUGGAGGAAUCACGGCUAAUUCAUAAAAUAAUUAGUUGGAUUUUGAAGUAGAAUUAGUUAAUUGGUGGCUUUUAAUAGGUCUCAGUUUGUUACAUCGUUUUUGCAUUUUUUUUGCAGAACUUAGUAGUGUCGUCCAAACUAAUACGGUCGGGGGGGUGGGGGAGGGGAGGGGGUGGGGGGGGGGGGGGGGGGGGUUUGGGGAUAAUUUUAAUUGUGUCGAGAUUAAAAAAUUUUAAAUUUAUUUAUUUAAAUUUAAAAACAUGACGUCUUAACUCGAUACAUGAGUCUACUAGACAGAGUGAAAUAAUACCAAUCCACACAUGUUUAAGAUUGUUUGGCUCUCAUGUGGAUCACUAAAAAUUAAUAAAUCAAAUUGAAUAAAAGAGUCUUUCUUUGUACUUUAUACUUGUCGUCCCAUUUUAGCACCUCAAAGUGAAAUUCAUCCCACAUCAGAAUGUUUACAUGGUUGCGCAUGUGCAUAUGUUGAAUAUGUCAGAAAUUUUAGGUUACUUAAAGAAAAGUAAUACUAUAUUUAAUGACGUCCACGAGUCUUGUUAAAAAAAAAAAGUUUUUUAUUAUAUCUGUAAGGUUUCAAAAAAAAAUAAAAAAAAAAAUAUAUUAUAUAUAUAUACUUAUAUAGGUUAUAAAUAAAUAAUAAAUAAUAAUUAGACCACAUGUAAAUUAAUGGAUCUAAGUGUUUUUUUGUUAUUUGGCCACAUGGGAUAUUGGACUUAGAUGUUAUUCAUGUUGGCUUAUAGUGAGAUUUAAGUCUUAAUUUGGAUCGGCAAAAAUUUGACAGUUAAUUUGGUGUUAACACCCAAACAAAGGGCCUGAGAGGCAUUCGUUGGAUUUCCUUCGCUUCACAGCCGUUUAAAUUUUUUCAACAAAUUUCUCCCACAAUGCACAUCAUUCUCCCCACCCCCCCCCCCCACACAACACAAUCCUCCCCACAAACCUAAUCAUCCAACAUACUCAUUUGUUUUUUUUUCCUUUUCUCUUUUUCUAUAAGCUAUGCGAAUUCUAUCUCUCUCUCACCGAAUUCGGCUCCUUCUCUCACGCCAUUCUGUCUCUCCUCUCUCUCUGUCUGUGUUGAACCACAUAAGAAGAAAAAUUGUGUUAGAGUGUUAGAUCGUGGCGAGUAGAGUGUGAUUCAAGUGGAGUAAAUUAGAGAUAAAUUAUCUACUCAACGGGGGCUUCAUAUAGAGCUCAUAAUAUCAGAGAUCGGAGUCUUUUGGAAUAUCCUCAUCUUCUCAAUUUUGGAGCUUGAUUGAGGUAAAGGGGGUUAGUUUGUUGGGGUUGGGGGGGGUGUGUACUUUGGGUUUGUUGUUAAUAGCUUAUAUCAGUCUAUAAGACAUUAUUUGAAUAUAAACUUAAAAUGGAGAAACUUAAUUUAUAAUGAAAAUGGUAACGAGGUUUAACUGUUGGGAUGUAUUAUAUUAGAUUGUGUUGAUGAUUAAAAAAUGAUAUUUUGUAUAUUUUCUAUUAGUUACAUUUAAGCUGUUAAGCAAGUGUAAAUCUAUGUAUGUUAGAUCUGGAAAAUGGUUUUGAGAAUGACAUGCUAGGAAUACCAGAAUUGAUGGCUAGAUUAAGCCUGACAUGAAAAGGUCCUAGAUGGCAACAAUAACAACCGCGCAGGGAAAAGGGAUGUCGACCCGUCGGUUAGUGACCGAGAAUGCGGCCGAUAAUGGGUAUGUCCCACCCUUCGGUGAAAUCCGAGAAGUAGGCGAUAUUGGGGGGGGGUUAUGUCAAACCUUCGGUGAAAAUCCGAUAAGUAGGGUGGCCGGAUAUUGGGUAAUGUCAAACCUUCGGUAAAGUCGAGAAGUAGGCCGUUUCGGUAUUAGCCUAGUGUGUCCAUUCCUAAAAUAUAUUGGAGUAACGUUUGGUGAGAACAAAAAAAUCAGAAUUUGAGAAACUUGUUUGAUUGAGAAAUUACAACUUAAAAAUUGUAUUUUGAUAUUGUUAUUCAAAGGAUCCAAAUAUUUGCUUUUUAGAAGAACUGCGAUUCAAGAAUUGAUUGGAUGGAGAAAUUAAUGGUCAUGAAAUUAAAUUAUAUUUUGGUAGAAUGACGUAUAUUUCAUUUAACAUGUUUUCAUUAUAGAUUAUGUAUCAUGAAAUUUUUGGCUUUGAGCAUCAAGUCCUAUCUCGUUAAAUUUUUCACACGGUAACUCCCCUUUACUAUAAAAUUUAAUUUCAGGUACCCGAAUUUAUCCGAUUCGUGAGGCAUGUGGAUGCUGGUGUUUAUUUUUUUUUUAUAAAUGUUUAAUUCAUGAAAACUUGUAAUUUUAUUUGGCCCGAUGUGGGUACAGAUUGUAGGGACUAAUUUUUAUGCGUUGAGAUUUUUUGAAUUGUUAGAAUUAUAUUUAAAUCAUUCAAUAUAAUUUGGGUUUUAAAUUGAAACAUGUCAACUUUUGAGACUAAAAUAAAAAGACAUUUAAGUUAGAGGGGUGAAUAUCAGACAAUUUUACUUAAUAAUGGAUGAUUAUUCAACACAAUCAUUCUAACUUAAUAUUUUUUAUAUUAAAUACUAAAAUAAAAGAAUAACGGAAGGUUAUAUACGAUAAGAAAAAAUCAUAUGUAUAAGUAUAAUAAUUUAAAGAGAAUAGAAAUUAUUGGUGUUAUUAACCUAUGAUCAUGAAAGAAGAAAGUGGAAUCUAACGGUGAAUUGAACAGUCCUAUUAAAUAUAAAUUUCACAUAUUUGAGUUUUAGCUUACACGGGCGGGUCUGUUUGACCGGGGCGUGCAACAUUGUACAAAGCUUAGGUUUCGAAUAACCUAUAGCCGUGGGGUGGUUAAGUCCACAAUUAUUUUGGUGUCCUAAUUAUUAAGGAAUAAUCAUAGAGGUAAUUAUAUGGGUAAUUUUAGAUAUACAUGAAUAUUGGGGUAAUUAGACACGUUAUUUCGUCUUCUAAGCUUUCUCUUUACCACGUAAGUCCUAAUAUCUUUUUAAUAUUUUUUAAUUUCAAGUUGAGAUCAUUAAGAGAUUUCUACAUCAUAACCCCUACGAUUCUCAGUCCAAGAUGCAGGACCGUUUUGCUUACAUCCGAUUUCCCAGCUUCAUCACUACUGCCUGAAUAAUGGCAGAAACGCCUUCGAAAUACUGACAGUCACUGUUCACUGUUCACUGUUCACUAUUCACCUAAUAAAUACAUAAACCUAAAUUUAAUCCUUUAUGUAUUCUAAUCCCACUCCUCCUGAUGGGGUCCAGUGUUAUGAGUAACAUGAAUAUGUUAUUUAUAUAAUUAGACAAACAUGAAUAUACAUAAUAUACAUGGUAUCUUGCUAUUGAGUUUACAUAUGUGUAUGUCCAAGUGUUAUUGCUGAGUCAUAAGUGAGUAUGAUUGUUUAAUUAAUUUAUAUGGCGUUGUGUAUAACAUGCCACCACGACAAGUAAGAGUCAGCGCGAGAUCACUUACAGGAGCACACGGGGCCCGUGAGCGCGCGGGGCUCGUGAUUCGUGAGAAUGGGAUGGAAAAAUCACCAAGAUCAGUAUGGGGGAGAGCUUAUAGAAAUGUGGAAGGUGUUCCACCUACGUUUUGGGUGGCGCCGAAUUUAAUGGCAAUGACUUGUUUCACCGCCAUCGAGCAGUGGGUGAGAAACACGUGGGCAAACUAUGCAAAUGCCAGUUAGAACGGCAGAGAGUGGGGCUACCACGGCCAUGAAGGCCUUUCUUCACCCUCCGUCCACAACGUUCAAGGAGAACCGUAAUCCUUAGUCGCGGAAGAUGGCUUGACCAGUCAAAGACGUUGAUACCAUCUUGGUGCUAGGAAGACUUGAGGGUGUUGUUUGCAUCCUAUCAACUGCAGGGGGAUGCCCUCCAUGGUGGGAAGACCAUGGAGGAGGUAGUAGCAAGAAGUGGUACCUUUCAGGAAGGCUUUCCUGAUCAGUAUUUUAACGUUACGGCUAAGGAGGCAUUGAGAAAUGGAAUUUAAUUAAUUGGUUUCAGGGAGCAUGACUGUGGCUCAAUACGAGGCCCAACAGGGGGUGGGGUAGGUUUAACUAGCUUGUAGGUUUUGCCAAAGCAUUUGUAUCAACGAAGAGAGAAAGCAAAACAUUUAUGUCGGGGGCUUAGGCCAUCCAUAGGAUAGAUUGCCGAAAUUUGAUCAAAGUUACUGCUAGCCAUGGUUAGUGCGGCGGCGGCCAUUGAGGAGACAUUGAAUGAGACUAGAGAUCACAAAUCCGAUCUCAACAUUGAGGGAACUACGCACCAGUCGGAGGGGCGUUCUUUUAAGAAGCCAAAGAGUUUUUUCUACACAACAACAGUAUCCUGUUAGAUCUUCACCUAACAUGUCAGCAUAUCAUCAGACCAAACUCUCCGGAGAGGGCAGACAUUGUUUUGUUGUCACCAAUAUGGUCAUCGGGUUAUAGACUGCCCACUGAAGGGCAGUCUGAAAGGCAGUCACAUCGAAGGCACAGUUACACAGCCAAACACAGUACAGACACAGCUAGGGGGACACCUACUUGUUUUCAGUGUGGGCCAACUUGGACAUAAUACUUGCGUCAGUGCACGGCAGGAGAGGGAACAGUCAGGGAGCUAUGGGAUGGCAACAACCCAUCGUCAGUUCAGGCAUCGAGGCCACUCCCAGCAUUUACAAUCAGUCACAGACUUCAUAUCAUUCCAGACCACAGGCUUAGGCUCAGCAGGGUCAGAGACCGCAGGGACGUGUUUAUGCUAUGUACAUCAGCCCCCCAUUGGUACCAUCGGGGACAGCAUACAGCCAGAACAACCUUGAUACCCUCUGUUGUACGAGGUACUUUUCUGUGUUUAAUUCGUGGGCUCGCUAAGUGAUUCUUAUCGAACCAGGGAGCAUCCUCAUUGCAUACGCAUCAUCUUUUGCUUUGUCAUUGGGAUGAAAUAGAAGUGGUUAGAUUCGUGCUUAUAUUAGCACACCCCAGUUGGAGGAAGAAACAACUCUGAAAACGAGUUUGUAGAUGCUUGUGAAGUUGAGAAUCGCGAAUCGACGUUUUGUGUUUGCUUCAUUGUGGAUGUGACAGGACUUCUUUUGACGUAAUCCUGGUAUGGAUUGGACUAUGAACUGAUCUAUCAGGCCACUAUAGAUGGUGUCCAGCGGGUUGCUUUGUACACCCGAGAGUUCGCUUUCAUUUGAGCGUGGGUACGAGGUUGUCGUCUUGUCCUUCUUCUACUGACGGCAUAGGCAAGGGGAAUUGAAUUUUCUUUUCUCAGCAUGCUUAGUCAAGAGGGUAGUCGUAGUUAGCGUGGCUUUAGCGGGCUUUGCACAAGUUGUUUGCGAAUUUUCGGAUGUCUUUCCGGAGUAUUUGACAGAAUUACCACACCUCGGGAGAUGAGUUCUCCAUUGAUCUUAUACCGGGCACCGGCCUAUCUCAGUCACUUAUCGUUUGCACCGACAGAGUGCAGAACUGAAGACGUCAAAGUUCACAAGAUUGCUUGGAAUAAGGGCUUUUAUCCGACCUAGGCAUCACCAUGGGGGGCUUCGCCUAUUUUCUAGAAGAAGGAUGGGUCCUUAGAAUGUGUAUAGAUUAAUCGAGAUUGAAAUCGUGGACGAUACGAAUAGUAUCCCUUCCGAGGAUCGACGUUUAUUUGACCAUUGAAGGUUGCGAGCUGUUCUGAAAAUAACUUGAGGUCGGGUUACACCAGUUGCGAAUUAAGGAGGAGACAUGCGAAGACGCUUUCGCUCACGCUACGGGCAUUAUGAGUUCUUGUGAUUGCAUGUGGUCUUACAAAUGCACCACAGCUUUUAUGAUUUGAUGAAUCGUAUCUUCAAUCAUAUCUUGAAAUGUUUCGUGGUGUUGUUCGUAGACACAUCUUGAUCUACUCGCCAUCAGUUGAGUCACAUGAGGAGCAUUUAAGGAUCGUAUUUGCAGCUCUUGCGAGAGCACCAUUUGUACGCUAAGCUUAGCAAGUGCGAGUUUUUCUGUGUCUGAGGUGAGAUUCUUAGGUCAUGUUUUGUGUCAGGGAAUGGAGUAGCGUGAUUCGUUUAAAAUUGUAGGCAGUGAUGAAUUGGGAACGACCAUAAGACCGUAUUUGAGAUUCGUAGUUUCUUAUGUUUAGCUGGUUUACUCCGACGAUUUGUGGAGGACCUUUUCACGUUUUAGCGGCACCUGAUUACUCGACUUACAGGAAGGAAUUCGUUUUGUUUGGAACGAUGCGUGCGAUCAUUCUUUUCAGGAACUUAAGAAGAGAUUGACUUCGGCACCGGAUUCUUGUUAUCCUGCAGCGAGGGUUGACUAUACAUGUUUGCGAUGCUUCACGUGAGGUUUUGGGUUUUGUGUUUGAUGCAGUUGGGUAAGUGUGCGUAUGGUUCUCAUCAAUUGAAGAUGCAUGAACAAAAUUAAUCCGACACCCCCCCCCCCCAAAACACCAAACCCCCUCAGAUUUGAACUUCGCAGUUAUCCUUCUGCGUUGAAGAGUUUGGAGACAUUACUUGUAUGGGUAGCGGUUUGAAGUAUUUUCAGACCAUAAGAGCUUGAAAUAUCUGUUUACACAGAAAGACUUGACUUAGGUCAGCGGCGUUGAUGAGACAUUGAGGACUACGCUUCGAUUGCACUAUCCUCCAGGGAAGGCCAACGUUGUGGCCGAUGCUCUUAGUCGGAAAUCUCUUAGCACUUUGGCGGUAUUUCCAUUGGUGAGUGGAAAUGCUUCUGGAUAUCGUUGAGUUCGCUACUCCCCUCAAACACAGACACGGUGAAGUCUGCUCGUUAUUCACAUUGUCCCUGCAGAGCCAUCAACAUUAGUAGGGUCCAUUGAGGCACAACGAAAGUGUUUUAUGCCCAAAUACCCUCACUUUUUGUAGUUCUCUCGGGCCCUCCUUUCUCGCUUUUGUGGCCCAACAGAUUGGGUUUUACAUGAGGUCACGGUUUGAGGUAUACGAUCUGAUUAUUUCGUAUCUUUGUCUACUAGAGAUAUGUUCUUCGUGAGUUUAUCUUCGCGACUUCAGUAUCAUCCUGGAGGAACGAAGAUGUAUCAUGAUUUGUGUCGCCAAUUUAUGGUGCAGGCGAAUGAACAAGACGUUGCAUUGUUCGUUUCUAGAUUUUUACUUGUCAUCAAGUGAAAGGCCGAACAUCAGAAACCGCGUGUUUACUACACCACUACUAGUGGCAAGUGGAAUGGGAACAUCUCACUUAUGAUUUCGUUCGGGUUUGCCUAGGUCAUUGAGAGGGCAUGACGCCGUUUUGGGUUUAUAGUACGAUCGUUUGACUAAAUCCCACAUUAUUCUCGGCAAUUCGUUUAUCAAAUUCGUAGAAGAUCUUGUGGAGUCAUAUUUACGUUCCGUGAAAAUCGUUCGCUCAUGGGGUUCCAGUAUACCUAUUUCCCCCCCCGUUUCGGAUAGUCCGCGUUUUAACAUCGCUCUUUUGGAGGGGAUGCAUCUGCCCUUGGGCGGAUUUGAGCUUAGCACGGCAUUUCAUCCUCAGACUGACGGACAGUCUGAGCGUGCUAUUCAGAUUUUGGAGGACAUUCUUCGAGCAUGUGGUACUCGAUUUUUGGGGAUCAUGGGAGACAAUCACCUACCACUAGGUACUCUUCUGAGUUCGCGUAUAACACUAUAGUUAUAGAACCUACCCACAGAUGUGCGGCUUUCACACACCACAGGACACCCAGACCACUCGAAGCGUUGUAUGAUGCAAGACCUUGUAGCGUCACCCGUUUGUUGGACCGACGUUGGGGAGACAGCACUUUGCAGUUCGGAUUGGGUUUCCGUAGACACAACCGAGAAAGUAGAUUUUAUCAGUAAGCUUACUCACGAGCACACAAGUCUCAAAGAGUUUAUGCCGACCGUAGAAAACGUCAUUUGGAGUUUGCUGUGGGGAUCACUAUUCUUGAGGUUCACCUAAGAAGGGGUUUGAUGCGCUUCUGGGCAUAGCGUAAGCACACCAAGGUUCAUUGGACGUUUGUGAUACUGAUCGUAUUGGGGCCGUUGGCAUACCGUCUGCCUCUGCCACCAGUUUGCCCAAUGUGCACAAUGUGUUUCAUGUUUUCUAUGGUGGCGAAAUAUGAGCCUGAUCCUUCACACAUUUUGGAUUGGGGUGAUCUUGAUGUCAAUGAUGAUUCACGUAUUAGGAACGUCCGAUUCGUGUGUUUGGACGCCCGAGAGAUCAAGUUGUUGAAGGAAAACUAUUCCAUUGGUGAAGGUUCUGUGGCUUCAUCAUGGCGUAGAAGAAGCCACGUGGGAACGCGAAUCAGAGGUUCGCGCAAGUAUCCGAUCCUUUUAUCAAUCAGGUACGUUUAUCCUUAAUUUCGUGGACGAAAUUUCCCUUAAGUGUGGUUGUAAGGUUUCAAAAAAAAAAAUAUAUAUAUAAUAUAUUAUAUACGGUUAUAAAUAAAUAAAUAAAUAAUAUUAGACCACUGUAAAUUACAUGGAUCUAAGUGUUUUUUUGUUAUUUGGGCCCAUUGGGAUAAUUGGACUUAGAUGUAAUUGAUGUUGGGCUUAUAGUGGAUUGAGUUUUAAUUUGGAUCCAAAAAUUUGACAGGUUAAUUUGGUGUUACAACCAAACAAACCUGAGAGCUUCGUUGAUUCCUUCCUUCACACCGUUUAAUUUUUCAAACAAAUUCUUCCAACAUACAUCAUUUACUUCCCCCCCCCACACACACAACACACAAUCACUCCACACACAUAUACCAACAUACUCAUUAUGUUUUUUUUUCUUUUCUCUUUUCUAUAAGCUAUGCGAAUUCUAUCUCUCUCUCACCGAAUUCGUCUCCUUCUCUCCGCAAUUCGUCUCUCCUCUCUCUCUUCUGUGUUUGAACCACAGAAGAGAAAAUUUGUUGAGUGUUAGAUCGGCGAGUAGAGUGUGAAUUCAAGUGGAAUAAAUUAGAGAUAAAUUAAUCACUCAACGGGGGCUUCAUAUAGAGGCUAAUAAUAUCAGAGAUCGUAGUAUUUUGGAUUCUCAUCUUCUUCAAUUUUGGAGCUUGAUUGGGUAAAGGGGGUUAGUUUGUUGGGGUUUUACUUUGGUUGUGUUAAUAGCUUAAUCAAGUCUAUUAAGACUUAUUUGAGAUAUUAAACCUUAAAAUGGAGAAACUUAAUUUAUUGAAAAUGGUAAACGAGGGUUUACCUGUUGGGAUUUUAUAUUAGAUUGUGUUGAUGAGUAUGAUCUUUUGUAUAUUUCUAUAAUUUACAUUAAAGCUGUUAGCAAUGUAAAUUCUAUGUAUGUUUUUAAGAUUCUGGAAAGGUUUUGAAAUGACAUGCUAGGAUAUACAGAUUAGAGGCUUAGUUUAGGCAUGAAAUGAAAAGCCUAGAUGGCAACAAUACACCGCGCGGAGGGAAUUGUCUACCCAUCGGUUCAGUGCCCGAGAAUGCGGCCGAUAAUGGGUAUUUCAAACCUUCGGUGAAAAUCCGAGAAAGUAAGGCCGGAUAUUGGGUUAUGCUCAACCUUCGUGAAAAAUCCGAGAAGUAGGCCGGAUAUUGGGUUGUCAACCUUCGGUGAAGUCCGGAAGUAUGCCGGUUCAGGUAUUAGCCUAGGUGGUCAUUCUAAUUAUUGGAGUAAAUUUUGUGAGAAAAAAAAAAUC